rnacentral:lncRNA from 1 species
GCCAGGCCCUGAGCAACUCAGCGAGACCCUGUCUCUAAAUAAAAUAUAAAAAAGGGGAUGUGGCUGGGACUCAGUGGUUGAGCAACCCUGGGUUCAAUCCCUGGUACCAAAAACAACAACAAUAAUAAAAUAAUAAUAAAAUGAUAAAUAAUAAUAAAAUGAUAAUAAAUAAUAAAAUAAAAUAAUAAUAAGAUAAAAACCCCACUCCAUAGUGUAUAGAUACUGAUACCACAUUUUCUCUAUCCAUUCAUCUGUUGAUGGACACCUAGGCUGGUUCCAUCCAUGGUUGGGCUAUUGUGAUUUGUGUUUUUCCCACUAAUAAAGGCUGUGCAUAUUAACUUCGUAAAAACAACUUAGCAACAGAGUACCAAAAGGAGAAAAAAGAAAUCAGUAUCGCAUGAUGUCUCUCCAGAGGUGAUCAUUGUUAAUAGUUUCCUGUGGGGUCUGGAGUACCUGUGGCUCCAAAUCCUGCCUUUGGUCCCAGGAUUCCCGAUAUACACUCUUUGUUUCUUGGGAGUGAAGGAACGCUUUAAGAAGUCUGUUUCAAAUCACAAAGAAAAGAGGCAAUUUAUUCAGCAGGGUAAUUCAUGAGCCAGAACUUGUUAGCAUAGUGGUCUAUAAUUUUUGUUUUGUUUUUUUUUUGGGGGGGUACUAGGAAUUGAACCUGGGAGACACUUAACCAUUGAG